UACGUAGGGUGCAAGCGUUAAUCGGAAUUACUGGGCGUAAAGCGUGCGCAGGCGGUUUUGUAAGUCUGUUGUGAAAUCCCCGGGCUCAACCUGGGAAUUGCGAUGGAGACUGCAAGGCUAGAAUCUGGCAGAGGGGGGUAGAAUUCCACGUGUAGCAGUGAAAUGCGUAGAGAUGUGGAGGAACACCGAUGGCGAAGGCAGCCCCCUGGGUCAAGAUUGACGCUCAUGCACGAAAGCGUGGGGAGCAA
rnacentral:rRNA from 1 species